UACAGAGGGUGCAAGCGUUGUUCGGAAUUAUUGGGCGGAAAGCGCACGUAGGUGGUCUAUCAAGUCAGGUGUGAAAGCCCUGGGCUCAACCCAGGAAGUGCACUUGAAACUGACAGGCUUGAGUAUGGAAGAGGGUCGCGGAAUUCCCGGUGUAGAGGUGAAAUUCGUAGAUAUCGGGAGGAACACCAGUGGCGAAGGCGAUCACCUGGGGUUGUUCUGACGCUGAGGAGCGAAAGCUAGGGGAGCAAACGGG
rnacentral:rRNA from 1 species